GAUGAACGCUGGCGGCGUGCCUAACACAUGCAAGUCGAGCGAACAGACGAUGAGCUUGCUCCUCUGACGUUAGCGGCGGACGGGUGAGUAACACGUGCAUCACCUUCCUAUAAUACGGGGAUAACUUCGGGAAACCGGAUCUAAUACCACAUAAUAUAUUGCACCGCAUGGUUCAAUAGAUAUAUACGGCUUUGCUGUCUCUUAUAGCCGGAUCCGGGCCGCAUUAGCGAGUUGGUAAGGUAACGGCCUACCAAGGGGACGAUGCGUAGCCGACCUGAUGGAGGGACCGCCCACAGUGGACCGGAGACACGGCCCAGCCACCUAGGGGAGGCAGCGGUAGGGAAUUUGGAGCAAGGGGGGAAAGCCUGACGGAGCAACGCGGGGUGGGUGAUGAAGGUCUUCGGUUCGUAAGACUCUGUGAUUAGGAAAGAACGAAUGAGUAUGUAACCAUGCUGGUCUGAAGGUUACCUAAGAAGAAGGACCGGGUAACUUAGGG
rnacentral:rRNA from 1 species